rnacentral:rRNA from 1 species
AGAGUUUGAUCCUGGCUCAGAUUGAACGCUGGCGGCAUGCCUUACACAUGCAAGUCGAACGGCAGCACGAGAGCUUGCUCUUGGUGGCGAGUGGCGAACGGGUGAGUAAUAUAUCGGAACGUACCCUAGAGUGGGGGAUAACGUAGCGAAAGUUACGCUAAUACCGCAUACGAUCUACGGAUGAAAGUGGGGGAUCGCAAGACCUCAUGCUCAUGGAGCGGCCGAUAUCUGAUUAGCUAGUUGGUGGGGUAAAAGCUCACCAAGGCGACGAUCAGUAGCUGGUCUGAGAGGACGACCAGCCACACUGGAACUGAGACACGGUCCAGACUCCUACGGGAGGCAGCAGUGGGGAAUUUUGGACAAUGGGCGCAAGCCUGAUCCAGCAAUGCCGCGUGAGUGAAGAAGGCCUUCGGGUUGUAAAGCUCUUUUGUCAGGGAAGAAACGGUGGACUCUAAUACAGAUCACUAAUGACGGUACCUGAAGAAUAAGCACCGGCUAACUACGUGCCAGCAGCCGCGGUAAUACGUAGGGUGCAAGCGUUAAUCGGAAUUACUGGGCGUAAAGCGUGCGCAGGCGGUUGUGCAAGACAGAUGUGAAAUCCCCGGGCUCAACCUGGGAAUUGCAUUUGCGACUGCACGGCUAGAGUGUGUCAGAGGGGGGUAGAAUUCCACGUGUAGCAGUGAAAUGCGUAGAGAUGUGGAGGAAUACCGAUGGCGAAGGCAGCCCCCUGGGAUAACACUGACGCUCAUGCACGAAAGCGUGGGGAGCAAACAGGAUUAGAUACCCUGGUAGUCCACGCCCUAAACGAUGUCUACUAGUCGUCGGGUCUUAAUUGACUUGGUAACGCAGCUAACGCGUGAAGUAGACCGCCUGGGGAGUACGGUCGCAAGAUUAAAACUCAAAGGAAUUGACGGGGACCCGCACAAGCGGUGGAUGAUGUGGAUUAAUUCGAUGCAACGCGAAAAACCUUACCUACCCUUGACAUGUCUGGAAUCCUUGAGAGAUCAGGGGGUGCUCGAAAGAGAAUCAGAACACAGGUGCUGCAUGGCUGUCGUCAGCUCGUGUCGUGAGAUGUUGGGUUAAGUCCCGCAACGAGCGCAACCCUUGUCAUUAGUUGCUACGAAAGGGCACUCUAAUGAGACUGCCGGUGACAAACCGGAGGAAGGUGGGGAUGACGUCAAGUCCUCAUGGCCCUUAUGGGUAGGGCUUCACACGUCAUACAAUGGUACAUACAGAGGGCCGCCAACCCGCGAGGGGGAGCUAAUCCCAGAAAGUGUAUCGUAGUCCGGAUUGUAGUCUGCAACUCGACUACAUGAAGUUGGAAUCGCUAGUAAUCGCGGAUCAGCAUGUCGCGGUGAAUACGUUCCCGGGUCUUGUACACACCGCCCGUCACACCAUGGGAGCGGGUUUCACCAGAAGUGGGUAGCCUAACCGCAAGGAGGGCGCUCACCACGGUGGGAUUCGUGACUGGGGUGAAGUCGUAACAAGGUA